CAUGGGAGAAGGCAUAACAGAAGAGCCGUGCACAUGACUGAAUAGCUGGUUUCCUUUGAGAAAAGGAACCAUUUGAACUUUCCACAGCAAAUAAUUGUCUAUGGUAAGUUUAAUGGUAACGAAAUGGUUGGCAGUGUUGAUGAUAGAUGUGUUGACAAUGAGGGAUGGGUUAUGGGUUGAAUUUUCGGACGAAAUGGACGAGUCCAUUUUCUGUAAAGGACAACGUGAGUCUUACUGGGCUCUGGAUACCAUGUUGAAAUGAAAACAACUGUUCUAGAGUCUUCUGUAGGUGUACUGCCUAGUUCUCCUUUGAUCGGCCUGCUGCAAGCUCCUUCUUCAUUUGCUCUCAAUUCUAUGGCAGAGUGUCGACUAUCCUUGACAAUUAUAAACAGCCCGAAGCAUAAGACAAAACUACAGAUUCACUCGCUACUAUCUUUUUAAUCUACGCAAUUCAUUCACCUUUGGGACGUCUAACUUAUCAUGUGGAAGUGUUGAUUUUUCAUCAGACAAGACCAACAAACUUCAUGAUCACUCUUCUCUCU